rnacentral:lncRNA from 10 species
GGAGCAUAGUGAUUUGCCUCUGGCGAACCCAGUACAGCAAAGGGGAUGGGAUGUCAGUCGCUGAUGUCACAGAAGACUGUGACUUCCAUCUUCUGGUUCUCUCUUGCAUUCUAUGAUGUUUCCAGACACUCUGUGCAAAGAACAGAGGCAAGCCUCCAGCCAGGAGCUCAUGAAAUCAUGAACUGAGGCCUCAGUGCAAUAGCUCAUGAGGAAAUGAAUUAUUUCAACAGCCAGGGUUGCUCUGAAGACUAAAGCCCUGGGAUCAUUCAUUUUAAAAGAAAAGAACGGUGACUCAUCAUUUCAAGCUUUUCAUUCUGGAAGUUGGAAGUACAAGAUCAGAUUGCCAGCAUCAUCAGGUACUCAUGAGGGCCGUCUUCCAGCUUGCAGACUGCCAACUUCUCAUUGUGUCCUCAGAUUUGAUAUCAAAGUAAUGUCAAGUGCUUCUGACCCACUGCAUUAAACGUGUGCUGAGCAGUUGGUGGUAGAAGACAUUAUUGUGAAGGCUGCUCACCACCAAUUUCAUCACUGUUGCUAACUCCAGCUCAUCUAAUCUCUGCAACAUCUGCUACCAGCACCUUCUCUUGCCUCCUUUUGUGAACAUAGUUUUUUCUUCUGGUUAGAAAAUCAGUUCGAACUUCUUGAGUUUUGUGUUUUAAACUCUUCUCAACUGUUCCGAUGAUUGAUGGAUGGCCCAGAGGCGACCUCUUUAUCUCCAGCAACAUAUUUGGCUGUUGGCCCGGUAGAGAGGUACUCCAGAAGCUUGCUGGUUCAUCAUGCUCUCAUCUUUAACCACAACUAUUUAUCUGACUCCUUCCAUCUCCACAGCACUGUGUGAGGGAUCAGUGAUAAGAGACGGUGAAAGACAUGCGCAAAUGGAUAAAUAAUAAGCAGGAUAUGUAGAAUGACACAACAAUUGAUGAGUAAUUUAGGAGAUCCAAUAACUAAAAAAAAAAAGACUGGGGACAAGUUCAUGGAAAGAGUAAUCAACUAAGCCUUAUAACAUAAAAUUGACAAAUAGAGAAGGCAUGCAAUCCAGUAGAAUAGAGUGCAAAAGAGGUAGAAGACUAAUCGUUUCAAGACAUGUUGAGCCACAACAGCAAUAACAUUGUGACAAAAAACGUCGGUGUAGACUGCAGAAGAUCUUCAAUGACGGAUCAAGCUGUAUAGACUUUUUUUUACCCUCAUAUACUGAAUAGUCAUUUAAGGUAUACAGUGCCAACGUAAGAGAGAAAGGUAAACUUUUUUUAACACAAGUUGUAGGCCUUGGAAAGAAGUUUUCCAGUAACAAGAUAACACGAUAAUGUACUGUGGUUAUAAGCUCAAAGUGGUAUAUUUGAUUCAGUGUUCCCAGAACCACCAAAACCUUGGAACCAUUGUUUAGCUAAAGCUACUAGAACAACAGAAUAACCUACUCUGUGGCAUUGUAAAGUAAAAUUAUACUACACACAAAUACUUGACAUAAAAUACAUUUCCAAACUCAAUUAUUAGGGAUAACAUAAGCACAAAAUGAUGCUUUGCAAACAUCAUGUAUCCUAUAACUGGAGAAAAAAAAUUAAUGACAUGAAGUGAAAUGACUGAGUUCUGAAGCUACAUCUCAAUUUAAAUAGCAUAAGCAAUUUAGUAUACAACAUUCUUCAAAAUCAAUUGUUGAAGGUUAACUAUAAUCUACAUACAAAAACAACUUUGUCAACUUUUUGUACGGAUUUUCCUUCUAAACAUAUUUACUUUAUGUGUAAAAUCAAAAAAUUUCCUGAGUUAAAGGCUAAGACUUGACUUUAUGAAUACAUGCCCAAAAAUUGGUGGUGGCUGGUUUCUGUUUUUAUUUUGUAAGCUUAGUAUAAUGGUUGUCCAGAACUUGUAAGCAAUGACCUCAUUUCUAAGCGGACAAGAUGCAAAAGACCAUUUUUACAGAUUAACCAUCUGGUUCCUUUAGGAAGAGUAAUAUUUCAACAGGUUCCUGUAUUUCAAGAAUAUAAAUAAUUAAAAAGAUGAAGAUAUGUGAAAUACACAAAGAAAAAAAUAGAGAAAAUAGCAUUUAAAGCAAAUUAUCCUAGCUCCCUCAAUUAAUAUUUUAAAACCAUGACAAUCAGUUAUUAAUAUAAAUUGUUAAUUUUAUUUAAUACAACAUCAAUAUAAUUCAUACCAUCUUCUUCAACUAGGUGGUCUAUCAUUUUGGAGUUUCUUUCCACCUCUGGAGAAUUGCUCAGGAAAUCUGGCUAACAUACCAAAUAAAUCAAAUGGAUUUAAUGAGAUGGUUUUUGGCUAGUUUCUAUAUUCUUGUAUACACAUGCAUGUAACACAUAAAUGUGGUGCUGUUCACAGUUAGAGGCGCAAGAGAAAAAAGUAGCUUUCCAGUGUUAUUUCAUUGUUAUUAACUAUACAGUAUUCAGGUGCAAACAAAUGAAAAUCCUGUAUAUUCACGCUAAAAUAUAAUAUGUAUCAAAAUAAGCAUAAAAUAACUGUUUUGGAUAGGUCUUAGGAUGCUGCUGUGGCUUAAUUUGCUCUGUUUAUGUUCUCUCCGCUUUUCUUUAUUGCAUGUGCUAGUUUUGAUGUGUUGUUUGACUAAUAUGUCAUACGGUGAAUUUACUGAGGUCUAUAACAAAAGGCAUGGAUCCAUACACUGGACACAACCUUGAGGGCAUAAGGGAAAAAAAAAAGAAACUAAGUACCAUAGAACAGCCUCAACAAAAUCAGAGCAUGCUUUACACGUGAUUUUCAGUUACACCCUGCUUGUCAUUUGUGAUUACUCAAAACAAUAAUUAAAUUACGUCCUCCAGGAAACAGGAAGGAGUGGAUAACCAAAAUACAUGAAAAGCCCCUACAGUCCCUGUUUGUUCAGAGUAUAGAUCAGCAUUCUUUAGGAGUUCCAUUCUUUUAUUACAGGAAUGAAUAUUGGGUUGAACACGCUUAUAUGCAUUUAGAGGUAAUGUGAUGUAUGAAAACAAGUACUGCAGAGGUUUCCUCUGUAGAACUGUACUUUUAAGAGGAGCAGCCACCAUAAUCUUCUUGUAAAGGUAAACUGGAUCAUGUCAUUUUCAAAUAAAGUCUUCUCUCACUUCAUUUUCCCCUUAAAACAAUAUAUAAAUGAUAAUAGUAGCAACGGUAACAGUAGAAGUGGUAAACUCAACAUAAAAAGCCUACAAGGCUCUUUCCUUGUCUCUUGCUACUCCCACUUCCACUCCAUUUGCAUCUCCAACCACAGAUGCUUUCUUUCUGUGCCCCAAUGAAGCUCUUUAUGUGCCUUUCACAUACUGUUACUUCUGGUUUGUUCUUUAAAUAGAUAAUUAUUUAUUGCCCUUAAAGACUUAAGUUAAAUACCACAUCUGCCAAGAGAUUUCACUUACUGCCUUCCACUCCCAAUCUAAGUCACUUUCUCUGGCUCUCUUAUAUAAGCACAGUUAUGUUUUCCUUAGAAUAUUCAUCACAAUUUGACAUUUUAAUUUGCAUUCAUUUACUUUUUAUCCCCAACUGGACAAUAUGCUCCUUGGAAAUAGGAAAUCAU